GCCAUCAUGGCGUAGUGGUUUGAGCAUUGGACUGUGACUCUGGAGACCAGGGUUCAACUCCUGAUUGGCC